CAGCCGCCGCGGGAAAACGGAGGGUGCAAGCGUUAAUCGGAAUUACUGGGCGUAAAGCGCACGCAGGCGGUCUGUCAAGUCAGAUGUGAAAUCCCCGGGCUUAACCUGGGAACUGCAUUUGAAACUGGCAGGCUAGAGUCUUGUAGAGGGGGGUAGAAUUCCAGGUGUAGCGGUGAAAUGCGUAGAGAUCUGGAGGAAUACCGGUGGCGAAGGCGGCCCCCUGGACAAAGACUGACGCUCAGGUGCGAAAGCGUGGGGAGCAAACAGGAUUAGAUACCCCGGUAGUCCCUGUCUCUUAUAC
rnacentral:rRNA from 1 species